GUACACGCUGUGACUAGCAUAUCAAUAAGCGGAGGAAAAGAAACUAACAAGGAUUCCCUUAGUAACGGCGAGUGAAGCGGGAAGAGCUCAAAUUUGAAAUCUUCAAGGUUUUACCUUGACGAAUUGUAGUUUAAAGAAGUGUUUUCUGCUGAAGUUUUGGUAAAAGUUCUUUGGAAUAGGACAUCAUAGAGGGUGAGAAUCCCGUAUUUGACCAUUAUUUCCAGCUUUGUGAUACACUUUCAAAGAGUCGGAUUGUUUGGGAAUGCAGUCCAAAAUGGGUGGUAAAUUUCAUCUAAAGCUAAAUAUUGGCGAGAGACCGAUAGCGAACAAGUACCGUGAGGGAAAGAUGAAAAGAACUUUGAAAAGAGAGUUAAACAGUACGUGAAAUUGUCAAAAGGGAAGCGUUUGACACCAGUGUUGUUUUACUCGAAAAUCAAUUCAAUAAUUUUUGAUUUUGAGUAGUAUUGACUUCAUCAGCUUGCUGCUUUCUUUUCGGAAAUUAUUGAAUGCACUUUUCAGUUAACAAGUCAACAUCAAUUUCUUUUGUUGUAAAAGGGUCAUUGGAAGGUGGCUUUCUUUUCGGAGAAAGUGUUUAUAGCCUUUUGCCUCUGCAAUCGGAGAGAUUGAGGUCUGCAGCGUAGAUCCUUCGGGGUUAGAUACAUUUGUGCUAAGCUAUAGCCUUGUAUAGACAACUUGUUGACUAUGCUCAGUCAUGUAGCUUACUCGCUUGUGCUAUUUUACCUACGCUUAGGAUGUUGAUAUGCAUGACUGAUAU
rnacentral:rRNA from 1 species